GUUACUUUUCUUCAGUGGGUCGUGGUCUUGCCGCCAUUUUGGACUUCCUUUUCCCCCCUCCCUUUCUUCUCCACAGCAAUCGAAAGAAGCAGCGAUUGAGCGGAGAGCUCUUCGUGCGCUUUCUUUCCCCCUCCUUUCCGUCUUACUUGCGAUCCGUACGGUUAGCAAACUCGAGCUAUGUCCGCCAACAGGAACCUCAAGCAAGUGAGGAUCGAGAACAAUUCUCCGGCGUCGGCACCUCCGAUGAGUAUGGUGGGCGGCGGCCCGAUGAAGGCGCUGAGGGGUUUGGAGAAACCGUCCGAGAACGAAGCUUUGGCCGCCGCGAUGGCGAUGGUGAAGGAGGAAGAGGAGGGAAUCGGCGGAGGCUUUACGGUCGACAUUAAGAGCUUCCUCAAGCCCGGCGAGAAGAGCUAUACGCAAAGGUGCCGCCUCUUCGUCGGGAACCUUCCCACCGACAUCACCGAGGAGGACUUUAAACGCCUUUUUGAGCGCUACGGGGAGCCCAGCGAGGUCUUCAUCAACCGCGACCGCGGCUUCGGCUUCAUCCGCUUGGAAUCCAGGACUCUGGCUGAAAUAGCAAAGGCAGAACUUGAUGGAACAAUUUUAAAGAGCAGGCCACUCCGAAUUCGAUUUGCCACCCAUGGAGCUGCUUUAACAAUUAAGAAUCUUUCACCAGUUGUUUCCAAUGAGCUUUUGGAACAAGCUUUCUCUCAGUUUGGGCCUGUGGAAAGAGCGGUUGUUGUUGUAGAUGAUCGUGGUAGAGCAACAGGCAAAGGUUUUGUGGAAUUUGCUGCAAAGCCUCCAGCGCGUAAAGCUCUAGAAAGAUGUGGUGACGGCGCAUUCUUGCUUACAACAACUCCUAGACCUGUUCUUGUUGAACCUAUGGAACAGUUUGAUGAUGAAGAUGGUCUGCCUGAGAAAUUAAUGCAAAAAACACAACAGUAUCAUAAGGAAAGAGAACAGCCCCCACGUUUUGCCCAACCUGGAACGUUUGAAUUUGAAUAUGCUUCACGAUGGAAAGCUCUUGAUGAAAUGGAAAAACAACAGCGGGAACAAGUUGAUAGAAAUAUUAGAGAAGCUAAGGAGAAGCUAGAAGCAGAAAUGGAAGCAGCUCGACAUGAGCAUCAGCUAAUGUUGAUGAGACAAGAUCUUAUGAGGCGUCAGGAAGAACUGAGACGUUUAGAAGAACUUCGAAACCAAGAGCUACAGAAAAGAAAGCAGAUACAAUUAAGGCAUGAAGAAGAGCAUAGGAGACGUGAAGAAGAGAUGCUGCGUCAGAGAGAACAGGAGGAACUGAGGAGACAGCAAGAAGGUUUCAAGCCGAAUUUCAUGGAUGCUAGAGAACAGGAAAUGAGAAUGGGUGAUAUGGGUCCUCGUGGAGCAUUAAACAUGGGAGAUGCCUUUAGCCCAGCACCUGCUGGAAACCAAGGUCCUCCUCCACCUCCAAUGAUGAGUAUGAAUAUGAACAACAGAGGGACAAUGCCUGGCCCUGCAAUGGGGCCAGGUCCUUCGUUGGGGCCAGAAGGAGCGACAAACAUUGGAACCCCAAUGAUGCCAGAUAAUGGAACUGUGGAAGCUGUUAAGAUUCUGAAGUAUGGCUGAAGAUGCAAAAUCACCCAGGAAGGAUGAAUUCUUUAUAAUAUUUCAGGUAUCUUUGUUUUCUCUUUACAUCUCUUAAUUAUCAAUUAUGUAGAAGCUUCUUAAUUUAUGCCCAGAAGCAAUUGUUUUUUUCUGUAAGAAGCUGCUAUAUACUCUUCACUGGUAAGGAUGACCAACUGAAUGACAGAACAAGAUCCAUAAUAUAUUGGGGUCCCAUUGGAAAAUAUAUUUGAAGGGAACAGGGGUGUCCAGGGGGCAUCAGAGAAGUCCAAAUGGCACUCUUUUUUUUUUUUUACAUGCGUUACUCAUGUGAUCCAUAAAGAAUAGUUUUAGUUGCACCAUUGUUGCUUCCAUCUUGACUUUUUAAACCAUAUCCUGCAUAUACACCUGGAAGGAAGCCCAGAGUUAUCUUGUAGGGGAGAUGGACAGCAUAAAAAUUAAAUAAAUAAGGGAAAAUUUGGGGUAAGACUUUUCAAUGUUUUAAAUUAUUUUUAAAUUUACUAGAAAUACUGAGAAUGUAGGAGCAUACUUAGGGUGUCAGUAUAUUUCUUCAUAGCAGUGAAGCCUCUUUCAGUGCAAGCUAAACUUCAUCUUAAUAUAGUUUCCUAUUUAAUAACAUCACCUCCAUUUGGCUUAGAUUUUAUUUUAACUUUUUCCUCAUUAUCACUCUGGGAAUAUUCAGUCACUUUUUUGAUGUUAGGUAACAUAGUGCAGUAGAUUUAGGAAUCUCUUUAUACUGAUGAUGUUCCCUGGAAAGUUUUAGCUUAACUCCUCAGCAGUUGAACAGCAUGAGGGAGCAGAUGAAAGUCUUAAUGUAAUAUUAAUUUUGGUGUCCAUGUCUGAGUUUUAACAGUAGAGAGUAAUCCUUCAACAACACCAUCAGGACUAAGCCAAAUAAAAAAGAAUGGAAUUAUUGUGUUGCUGUCCCAUCCUCUGCCCCCCAAGUCAAACACCCACAAGACCAAAUGCCAUCAGAUCUAAGAAGGUUAUCAUGGUUGAAAUGUAAUAACGACAUGU